AAGCGGGAUGCUGCUGCUUCAUCAGAGCUCUCCCAACCACCAGGCAGCGUUUCACCAAAAGAAGUUCAAUGCUCUGCUGUGUUAUUAGGAAGAAAAUACACAGUACAGUGGAAGAUGGUUCCAUUUGUAUUUCUCCAGAAGCCAUACCAGUCAUUUUUGAACAUCCUACUGUUUUUACAACGCAAAAUUCUACUUACAGGCUUCCAAAGAAGCUGAACAGAGGAUAUUCUCUUGCAGAAAAACAGCUUCUGCCCAGCACAACAGAUCUCUCCAGCUGCAAAAGUUCUUAAAGCAUGACAAGAAUGAUGAGGCAGGACGUCUCCGGCAGACAUCUGUUUUAGCACAGAGCUCCUGUGCAUGAUGCAGUGACACAACUCUGCUUCAGACCAGUUGCCUCCCCUCUGGUGAAAGUAUGUGAAUUUGCAGUUUCUUCCUCUCUGUAACUCACCUACUGAACGGGCAUCAUUUUCCACUUCUGCACCAUAUUUUGAACAACUUUUAUUACUAUUUUUCUUUUUCUUUGCUACUGUCUUAGGUACUUAUACUCAAUUAUGUAAGCUGUAUUUUGCACUAUAACAAAGUGUAGUAUGGUAUAAAGUAAUUAUUGAUUUUAGAUACAUCUCAUAAUCUUCUCUCACAUUAUUAGAGCAAGUUUGUUGCAUUGAGUUACCUCAAUAAUUCAGACUACUGGUAAGUUACAUCUAUGCUUAAGAAACUGAAAUUUACAGUCAGUCUGAAGUAGAACCGGAGUGGGAUCUGACACAAAGCAGGGCUGAAUGGAGAUGUCUGGAUAAAUCAAACCAAGGGCUUGUCCACCGAGUCCUAGAGCUUGACGUGCCAACCCCGUGAGGGUUUGUGUUCAGCCAGCUGGGUAAAGAGAAGUUUGAGCUUAAACUGCAUUUAAAUGCAGGAGAGACAGUCUGUGUAGUCACUUGCUGGCUAUGGUCCCCAUCACUUUC